rnacentral:rRNA from 1 species
UACGUAGGGGGCAAGCGUUGUCCGGAAUCAUUGGGCGUAAAGAGCGUGUAGGCGGCCCGGUAAGUCCGCUGUGAAAGUCCAGGGCUCAACCCUGGGAUGCCGAUCGAUACUGUCGGACUAGAGUUCGGAAGAGGCGAGUGGAAUUCCCGGUGUAGCGGUGAAAUGCGCAGAUAUCGGGAGGAACACCAAUGGCGAAGGCAGCUCGCUGGGACGUUACUGACGCUGAGACGCGAAAGCGUGGGGAGCAAACAGG